ACAGGAGAAUUUCCCAAUUGACAACCGACCCCAGCAAGAACAAUACAAUAAAAAAAGCAAAUAUCCAGUUUUUAGAAGUCGGACUGUAUCUGAAUCCAACUACGGCGGUGUGUACGUUUGCAGCCUGUCCGAAAAAUAUCCAUGCAGUUUUAAUUUAAAAAUAGAAACGGACUGGCAUUUUUUUAAAUCGUGUGGUAGAUUGUUCCAUAGUUCAAUAACUCUUGGAAAAAAAGAGUUUCUGUAAUAGUUUUGCUU